CCUACGGGUGGCAGCAGUGGGGAAUAUUGCUCAAUGGGGGAAACCCUGAUGCAGCGACGCCGCGUGAGUGAAGAAGUAUUUCGGUAUUUAAAGCUCUAUCAGCAGGGAAGUAGCAAGACGGUACCUGACUAAGAUGCCCCUGCCAACUACGUGACAGCAGCCUCGGUAAUACGGAGGGGGCGAGCUUUAUCCGGAUUUACUGGGUGUAAAGGGAGCGUUGGCGGUAUGGCAAGUCUGAAGGGAAAGCCCAGGGCUUAACCCUGGGACUGCUUUGGAAACUGUUAGACUAGAGUGCUGGAGAGGUAAGUGGAAUGCCUGGUGUAGCGGUGAAAUGCGUAGAUAUUAGGAAGAACGCCAGUGGCGAAGGCAGCUUACUGGACAGUAACUGACGUUGAGGCUCGAAAGCGUGGGGAGCAAACAGGAUUAGAUACCCUAGUAGUC
rnacentral:rRNA from 1 species